GGAAUAUUGGGCAAUGGGCGCAAGCCUGACCCAGCAACGCCGCGUGAAGGAAGAAGGCCUUCGGGUUGUAAACUUCUUUUAUCAGGGACGAACACUGACGGUACCUGAUGAAUAAGCCACGGCUAACUACGUGCCAGCAGCCGCGGUAAUACGUAGGUGGCAAGCGUUAUCCGGAUUUACUGGGUGUAAAGGGCGUGUAGGCGGGACUGCAAGUCAGAUGUGAAAACUAUGGGCUCAACCCAUAGCCUGCAUUUGAAACUGUAGUUCUUGAGUACUGGAGAGGCAGGCGGAAUUCCGUGUGUAGCGGUGAAAUGCGUAGAUAUACGGAGGAACACCAGUGGCGAAGGCGGCCUGCUGGACAGCAACUGACGCUGAGGCGCGAAAGCGUGGGGAGCAAACA
rnacentral:rRNA from 1 species